UCCAGCCCUGGGCCAGGUCCGCGGCCCGGAACUUCUCGGUCCGGGCGUGCUCGGGUUCGGCCUCCCGCUGUCGGAUC
rnacentral:tRNA from 1 species